CAACCAAACAACCAACCAAACUCAAACUGGUGAAAAUAUUCCAACAGUAGGACUUUAAUGUUUUCACCUGAUUUAACAUUUUGCAAUAUAUGCUUUAUAUUAUAUAUUUUUUAAGAGAUCGGACUGCCUGUACCUCCUGAGUGCUGGGAUUAAAGACAUAUGUCACCACCACCACCUGUCUCCAUAUGCUUUAUCUUAAUUAUAUGCAUGUAUCUAACAGCCAGAGACCACCUUAACAAAACCCCCAGUACUAGGCAUGAGACACCCUCUUUUGAGUUGUUGGCCAAGAAACUCUGAAAACAUACAGCCUAUUGCUCUUGUCCUUAGUUACCCCCAGGAGGUGGAAGAUAAUCGUGCUCCUGAAGACACGGUGUACUUCAGAAAAGGGCCGGGAGACCUCUGAGGGAUACUGAUCCAAAUGUCCCCUCCGUGGAGACUAGCUUUCCUGGUAAGUCUAGUCCUCAGCCCUCCUUAUGGAAACUUCACUUUGCAACGGAUGGAGACUACUACAGAAAACCACAACCAAUCAAAAUGCAGACUUGUGGAACCCAGUUCCAGUGGAUACACCUACAGAACAUUCCCAUACCUAAGGCUCAGGGAACAUUGAUGAAGAGGGGCUGAGAGACUGUAAGAACCAGAGGGUCAGGACGAGGGAGUUUCUGUGAGACUGUGUCUUUUAGUAAUGUUGGAAGCUAUACCGAUAAAGUCUCACCAACAUGACCGCUCAAUGUGAGCUGAACAAGGAUGAGAGCAAUGGACAUGCCAGAGUGAAUGAGGAAAAGGCCACAAGGCUUCAGCCCCAACUCUGGGAACUCUAGGCAACUAAGAACUGCUGGAGAUGGGAGAGGUAGCCCUUCACAGGGAGAGCACAUCACUUAGUUGCUCAGUGCCAAAUGGUCAUCUCUGAGAACGUACAUACAGGGAGCAUUAGCUGAACAGACCAGGCUGUAUUUAGGAACACAUAUGUAUAUAUGAGUACAUCUAUACAUGCAAUAACUAGUGACAAAAGAGACUGUGAAUUUGAAGGAGAAUCAAGAGGGUGUAUGGGAGAGUUUGGAGGGAGGAAAGGCAAGGAUAAAUAUUGUAAUUAUAAUCUCAAAAUUAUAUGUAUAUAUUUAUAUAUCUAUUAUACCAUUUCUUUUUGCUGGACUACCUGAGAAUAAAUUGAAGAUAUCAUGACA